UUUGUCAAGAAGAAGAGGAACCAAAUCUUCAGAUAAUGAAGCAACAAGAAGGCUUACGAGUUGGGCAUCUUGUUGUUGCCAAGCAGUAGCGGCAAUCGGAUCGGUGGGCUGUGGGUGAGAGCCAUCAAGAAACCCAAACAGGCCUUGACCCUUUAAGAAGGGAGUAAUUUGCUUUCUUCAGAUCAAAAAAUUGGAUGCAUUUAAUUUGAUAGAUAGAAAAUGCUGUGCUGAUGGAAAGGUGAGAGGGGUCGUUGU
rnacentral:lncRNA from 1 species